GACAGAGGGGGCAAGCGUUGCUCGGAAUUACUGGGCGUAAAGGGCGCGUAGGCGGGAUGGCAAGUCGGUCGUGAAAUCCUUCGGCUCAACCGAAGAACGUCGAUCGAUACUGCUGUUCUUGAGGGUUGCAGAGGAGACUGGAAUUCCCGGUGUAGCGGUGAAAUGUGUAGAGAUCGGGAGGAACACCGGUGGCGAAGGCGGGUCUCUGGGACGUUACUGACGCUGAGACGCGAAAGCGUGGGGAGCAAACAGG
rnacentral:rRNA from 1 species